UGAGGAAUAUUGGUCAAUGGGCGAGAGCCUGUACCAGCCAAGUAGCGUGCAGGAUGACGGCCCUAUGGGUUGUAAACUGCUUUUAUGCGGGGAUAAAGUGCUCCACGUGUGGGGCAUUGCAGGUACCGCACGAAUAAGGACCGGCUAAUUCAGUG
rnacentral:rRNA from 1 species